rnacentral:rRNA from 1 species
CACGUAGGGGGCGAGCGUUGUCCGGAUUUAUUGGGCGUAAGAAGCUCGUAGGCGGCUAAGUAAGUCGGGUGUGAAAACUCCAGGCUCAACCUGGAGACGCCACCCGAUACUGCUUUGGCUAGAGUCCGGUAGGGGAGCAUGGAAUUCCUGGUGUAGCGGUGAAAUGCGCAGAUAUCAGGAGGAACACCGGUGGCGAAGGCGGGUCUCUGGGCCGAUACUGACGCUGAGGAGCGAAAGCGUGGGGAGCGAACAGG